UCCAGUCAGCGUGAUUGGCGCUCGAGCUCGGUACUCUGCGCAGUGCUGCUGUUUCUCACAGACUCUCGGCUCACAUACACACAGACUGUGGCGAAACCAGCAGCCACACGCGCAGCCUAAGCGCUCUGUCUCUCUCUCUAUCUGUCUCUCUCUUUUUCUCCUCCUCUUUGAGAAUGGUCCACCCGGUGCCUGAGGUUCAGCUGUCGCGGCCUGCCGCCCGUGUCUGAUCUCUCACCCACACAUACGCGCGCUCAAUACUAAUCAUGAUGUGAGAGGUGGGUACUGAGUAUCGUGCCCUCUCUUGCGUCUGCCGCUGCUUGGACCUGCUUAUAGUACCAGCCUCAGCUUUCCUGCCUGCUUGCUGCCCACAUCAGUGAAAGGACUGCUCGCACAACCCCAAAAUCUCUGUGACCCCGAACGACCCCUACACAAACACACAGAGCUGAAGUGGGCACUGUUGAAUCAGCCAAUAAGAUUCAAGGAUUUUGCUUUGGGAUCCAUUACUGCAGUUCUCUUUUUCAUACAGUAGCAGCAACAUUUUUUUUUCUCUUUUUGGUUUGGCCUGGUGUGCAUCGGCAAGGAAAGAGGAGCUUAAUGAUCUAAGAAGAAAAGGAACAUUCUCAGAAGGACAAACACAAGCACACCCAAAGCACUUUGGGAUAUUAGGGAUUGAAGUUUGCUUGCCACUAAAGCGUGUUGAGAUGGCGAUGAACAUGGCUCACAUGCGGGACACGAAAUGGCUGACGCUGGAGGUGUGUCGGGAGUUUCAGCGGGGAACGUGCGCUCGCUCCGAUGCUGAGUGCAAGUUUGCACAUCCCGCCAAGAGCUGCCAGGUGGAGAACGGGAGAGUCAUCGCGUGCUUUGACUCACUGAAGAUAGAUAGAUGGAUAGAUAGAUCACUGAGUGGUCCUGUGAGUGUGGUAGCAUUCAACAAAUGUGAUCCAACUCAACAAGCAGUGGAGAACAGGACUGAAGCAGUCUCACCAUGUAUGGAAACAGCAGCGAAUGCCCUACAGCAGCCCAACCACUGUUAGUAACACACUCAUGGAAUGUACACUCACAGAAAACACAGACACACUGGGCAUUCAUUACAGAAUAAAUGGCUGUUUGAAAGCAUAAACAUGAGCGCAGUAAAUCCACAGAGGACGUUUUCAUUUCUGGAUCACGCCAUAGAUACAAGCCAGCACUGGGAUCUAACACACACGCACACAAAGCUUGAACCUGACCAGAAGACUGAGAAAAAUGUGUAUCUGACAUACUGUCCCAAUGUGUCUUUAUAACAAAAUCAUUCAAUUCCUGCUCCCU